rnacentral:siRNA from 1 species
AGGAAGGGUUUAGAGGAGACGAG